GGCAGGCUUAACACAUGCAAGUCGAGCGCCCCNCNGGGAGCNGCAGACGGGUGAGUCACGCGUGGGAAUCUACCCUUUUCUGCGGAAUAACGCAGGGAAACUUGUGCUAAUACCGUAUGUGUCCUUCGGGAGAAAGAUUUAUCGGGAAAGGAUGAGCCCGCGUUGGAUUAGCUAGUUGGUGGGGUAAAGGCCUACCAAGGCGACGAUCCAUAGCUGGUCUGAGAGGAUGAUCAGCCACAUUGGGACUGAGACACGGCCCAAACUCCUACGGGAGGCAGCAGUGGGGAAUAUUGGACAAUGGGCGCAAGCCUGAUCCAGCCAUGCCGCGUGAGUGAUGAAGGCCCUAGGGUUGUAAAGCUCUUUCACCGGAGAAGAUA
rnacentral:rRNA from 1 species